rnacentral:tRNA from 1 species
GGCCUCAUCGUCUAGCUUGGUUUAGGACACGGGCUUUUCAAGCCCGGUACCCGGGUUCAAAUCCCGGUGAGGCCG